rnacentral:rRNA from 1 species
AUGAGGUGUGGAUAGCGGAGAAAUUCCAAUCGAACUCGGAGAUAGCUGGUUCUCCUCGAAAUAGUUUUAGGACUAGCCUUGUUUAGUAGUACGUGGGGGUAGAGCACUGAAGGAGCUAGGGGCCAAACCAGGUUACCGAACUCUAUCAAACUCCGAAUACCAUGUGCGUAAGAACAGGAGUCAGACUACGGGAGCUAAGUUCCGUGGUCAAAAGGGAAAGAGCCCAGACCGCCAAUUAAGGUCCCAAAGAUAUAGUUAAGUGGAAAACGAUGUGAUUUUGCGUAAACAACCAGGAUGUUGGCUUAGAAGCAGCCAUUCAUUUAAAGAGUGCGUAAUAGCUCACUGGUCGAGUGAAGUUGCGCGGAAAAUUACCGGGGCUAAACUAUACACCGAAAUUGCGGAUUCAUGAGUAAUCAUGAGUGGUAGAGGAGCAUUCUAUAGUAGGACGAAGGUAGAUCGAAAGGACUGCUGGACGAGAUAGAAGAGAGAAUGCCGGAAUAAGUAGCGAAAGCAUGGUGAGAAUCCAUGCCAUCGAAAGUCUAAGGUUUCCUGGGGAAGGUUCGUCCGCCCAGGGUAAGUCGGGGCCUAAGGAGAGGCCGAGAGGCGUAUCCGAUGGACAGCAGGUAGAAAUUCCUGCACCACCGAUAUACUUAAAAGAUGCAAGGGACACAGGAGCGGAAGGAAAGCGAGGAAGAGGAAAAACUCGUAUCGAAAGAUAUAGUGAAAAAUGAAGUAACGAAUUUCCAAGAAGCACACUGGCGAGAAAAGCUUGUAGAUAUUGUAUAAAGGUGCCCGUACCGCAAACCGACACAGGUAGAUGAGGAGAGGAUCCUAAGAUGAGCGAGAGAAGCAUUGUUAAGGAACUCGGCAAAUUGACCCCGUAACUUAGGGAGAAGGGGUACCAAUGUAAAAGUUGGUCGCAGAGAAGAGGCCCAAGCAACUGUUUAACAAAAACACAGGUUUCUGCUAAAUCGAAAGAUGAAGUAUAGGAGCUGACGCCUGCCCAGUGCUGGAAGGUUAAGGGGAGAGGUUAUCCCACGAGGAGAAGCUUUGAACCAAAGCCCCAGUGAACGGCGGCCGUAACUAUAACGGUCCUAAGGUAGCGAAAUUCCUUGUCAGGUAAGUUCUGACCCGCACGAAAGGCGUAAUGAUUUGGGCGCUGUCUCGACAAUGUACUCGGCGAAAUUGUAGUACUAGUGAAGAUGCUAGUUACCUGCGACAAGACAGAAAGACCCCAUGGAGCUUUACUGUAGUUUGAUACUGGGUUUCGAUAAUUUAUGUACAGGAUAGGUGGGAGACUAUGAAGCAUAUGCGUCAGCGUAUGUGGAGUCAUCCUUGGGAUACCACCCUUAGAUUAUUGAAAUUCUAACCUGUGGUCGUAAACCGGCCAGGGGACAAUGUCAGACGGGCAGUUUGACUGGGGCGGUCGCCUCCAAAAGAGUAACGGAGGCGCGCAAAGGUUUCCUCAGCGCGGACAGAAAUCGCGCGAAAGAGUGCAAAGGCAGAAGGAAGCUUAACUGAGAGACUGACAAGUCGACCAGAUACGAAAGUAGGUCUUAGUGAUCCGGCGGUAGUGAGUGGAAAUGCCGUCGCUCAACGGACAAAAGUUACCCUGGGGAUAACAGGCUUAUCUCCCCCAAGAGUUCACAUCGACGGGGAGGUUUGGCACCUCGAUGUCGGCUCAUCGCAUCCUGGGGCUG